GGUGGCUCAGUGGUGGAGUGCUUGCCUUGAAUGCAUAAGGCCCUGAGUUCAACCCUCAGCACCA
rnacentral:tRNA from 1 species